rnacentral:rRNA from 1 species
GACGAACGCUGGCGGCGUGCCUAAUACAUGCAAGUUGAGCGCUGAAGGUUGGUACUUGUACCAACUGGAUGAGCAGCGAACGGGUGAGUAACGCGUGGGGAAUCUGCCUUUGAGCGGGGGACAACAUUUGGAAACGAAUGCUAAUACCGCAUAAAAACUUUAAACACAAGUUUUAAGUUUGAAAGAUGCAAUUGCAUCACUCAAAGAUGAUCCCGCGUUGUAUUAGCUAGUUGGUGAGGUAAGGGCUCACCAAGGCGAUGAUACAUAGCCGACCUGAGAGGGUGAUCGGCCACAGUGGGACUGAGACACGGCCCAAACUCCUACGGGAGGCAGCAGUAGGGAAGCUUCGGCAAUGGACGAAAGUCUGAACGAGCAACGCCGCGUGAGUGAAGAAGGUUUUCGGAUCGUAAAACUCUGUUGGUAGAGAAGAACGUUGGUGAGAGUGGAAAGCUCAUCAAGUGACGGUAACUACCCAGAAAGGGACGGCUAACUACGUG